rnacentral:rRNA from 1 species
CACGUAGGGCGCAAGCGUUGUCCGGAAUUAUUGGGCGUAAAGGGCGCGUAGGCGGGCUGUCAAGUCUGGGGUGAAAUCCCGCGGCUCAACCGUGGAACUGCCUCAGAUACUGACGGUCUCGAGGGAGGUAGGGGCGAGCGGAACUGAUGGUGGAGCGGUGAAAUGCGUUGAUAUCAUCAGGAACUCCGGUGGCGAAGGCGGCUCGCUGGACCUCUUCUGACGCUGAGGCGCGAAAGCCAGGGGAGCAAACGGG